UGAAUUGUUGAUAACUCACCCCCUUAUCUCUACAAUAUUUUCAGAUUUUUGGAAGUUUCAGCUGGAAAACAAGAAUAGAAAGCAUGGAUAAGACUGUGUGAGCAUAGCAGAUUAAGUACAAAGAGGGUAUUUUUGAUUAUUGGAGAGUUUAUUUAGUAGUUUUGUUUUGCUUUGUCGAUUUGAUAUUCUAUAAAGUUGACGUUUAUUU